AUAAUUUUCCUUCAGAAUGGAAGGUUAGAAAAAGUAAGAAUCGAGAAACAGGAGCUGUUAGUGACUUGGUGUCUGAGACACAAGUUUGAGAAUGGCCACAUCUGUAAAUGGGAAGACUUCUUGCUUUGAAACUUUAAUUUCCAUAAGCAACAAGCAGAGUUGCUGUUCACAAAGCAAUUACCAUGGCUUCAAACUGCAGAUCUGGAAAACUGUUUCAAAAUGUUAAAUAGAUUUCUGCUUCUUUGCAGGAUCGCAGUAUGGAUUUGGCUACUUCAUGAUAACCAUCAUCCUGGAUCCUGUGGUUAGGCAUGUUGUUUCUCUAAGGAACUUGAUGGGUAUAGCACCUUUCAGAAGGAAAUUAACUUUUAGAUGGAAGGGGAAUUGUGACAACCUUUACCUGGAAAAGUUUAAGCCACAGAUGAGCAUUAAAAUUUGCUGUGUUUUCUCUGACCUGAAUCAAUGCCUGAUGUGAAGAUGCUUCUGCUGCAACCAAUGGUGGUCAAAACAAAGAGAAGCCUUAACACAGCAGCCGGAGGAACAUUUCUGCUUUUCCUCAGAGAAAGUCAACAAGUUCCACAUCUACAUUUUUAGCCUUUGAUCCUACAGUGCUUGAAUCCAACUAGCAUGGGUGUCAGGAAAGAUCCUCAUGCUAUUUCUUGUAUUUUUUUCCACAGCCAGCCAUGGCUGAGUGUGGGGUAGUGGCAGAGUCACACCUUUAGAUUGGUCAGCUACUGCAAAUUUUCACCUCAACCAUCAGUUCUGGUGGCUUCACUGGGGAUUUGAUGGAGGAAAUAAGGUCGGGAUGCAGCUCUUUGAGCCCAAUCCUGCAGAAUUUGUUCUGGCAAAAAAAGCUUGUGGGCUUCCUCCUCCUAAUACUCCAUGCAAUGGAAGGAAACAUAUGCUCCGCCAAGUGACCAUGGAAACUGGUGCCUUGGUUUCCAAGGUGAUUUUCUGGCAAGUGGCCGAAGGAGGAAGCGUUAACAAAACAGGAUCCUGGGCAGCAGAAAGCAUCCACAUUCCUGGCGAUGCAGCAGCCUGCACUGAGGAGGACAAAGCCACAGAGACAAACAGAAAACUCCUCAUUUUAAAAUCACCAAAGGUGUCAAACACCUGGCAAAGCAUGGGUAACUUGGUCUGUGGUCCCAGCUUCGUCACAUAUCUAUCUGUUUCCUUUUCUGCUUCUACCUGGGGAAUGAGAUCAGUCUUACCCAACUAAGACCUUAAGGCUCAUAUAAUCUCUCUUUCAAUAGAAAACAAGAAAAGCAAAAUAACCCAAGGAGAGAAAAAAGAAGCUGCUUAAAACUGACUCAUACCUUGAGACAUGGAAGACAUGAAGAAUAGAGAUAUAUCCAUUUCUCUUUAAAGUGCAAUAAAGAUACUUUGCAGAGCAUGUGGGUAAUCCUCCUGGGGUUCCAUACCAGCAUACAGCAAAACCCUUUCUUCACAUUCUUCAGGAGGACCAAAACUCUCCUUGUUUGCCUGUCAGUGUAAUUCCUCCUUGGAGUAAAUUUGAAAUACAGUGAUGUGCAACAUGACAUUACAGAGUGGAAGAAGAGGAAGGACUAGUGACAAGAUCACUUCCUUUUGCAGCAGAGGGGAAGAGGAGUUGAUACAGGAGACACAUGAGCUCCUCCAAGUCCUGUGCAAGCAUUACAGCCUGCCACAGAAUGCUCUCACAUCAUCAAUUGUGGAGUCUACUGAUUUAUACCACUUACAUGACCACAAGCCAGUACAGACAUAACAUUUAACAGUGGAACAACCCAGAAGCAGCAGUGUUACUGAAGAUUAGAUGAAAAUUAAAACCAUCCCUAGCAGAAGGGCAACCCAUCCUGAUAGAAGAAGUCUGAUUGGAAAAUAAAGGAAAGCCUUUUAAGUGUUAAGUGUACAAUUAUACUCAUUCUUCAGCUAUAAGUAAAGCCUUAUGAAGUUUGUUUUCCAGGUUUUCAUUAAUGUCAGAAGGUCCUGUUCUAUCCCUGCAGGAAACAGUUAUUGACAAGUUAUUUUAAGGAUGUUUCAUGGCCACAGGAUAGAACCAAAUUAUCUUUAAAAUGCUGGGAAGAAUUUUGACAUUAAGUCACUUACCUAAUAGUGGAAUUUAUUUCAGAAUUCCUCUUUCUUGCUCUCUCUUCAACUUUUAAUGGAAAAUCUGUGCUUGCAGGUGGUGGGGGAGAUGUACAGCAGCAGCCAUUGAAAGCACUUUGCUUACUACAAAUAGAGAGCUUUACUGAAAGCAUGCAGAAGUAGCACUUGCUUAUCCCACUGGAACUGCAGUUAAAAUGAACAUUGGCUGAAGUGCUGGGUGCAUCAGCCACCACAGUAAGGGGAGAUGAUGACAAUGAGGGCAGAGGGUGUACCCUGCACAGGUAACAGCCAAGACAAGCCCUUCUGACUUUAUCAUUGAUAAACUCCCACAUGCAUAUUUGUCACCAGAUAAGUUCAGGUUUAUCCAGAAAAAAUAUCUAUUCCACUGAUAAUGGAAUGGUAAGUUUGUGACACACAUUGCUGAGUGGGUUCUACAGAGUGGAUCUUUCUCAGUUGCUCGGGGAAGAUUGUCUGAGUAAGCCAGCAUGGAAAUAGAAAGGUUAAAAAAGUAUUUUAUUAAAAAUAAAAUAUCAUAGCUUCUAUUACCAAACGUCUGGAAACAUUCUCUUUUUUUAAUGUGUGUUUUUGUGGCAACUGCAGAAAAAACCUGUAGUAUUACCACAAUAUUAUCGUCACUUCAACUCUUCCAGUAAGUUUUAUCUCCUUAUGUUCAAAAAUUCACAAAUUUUAUCUUUCCAGGACAUACAGCUCUUAUUUCAAAUCAGAAAAACUGUUGAAGACUUUAUUGUAUAUUUUUUGUAGUCUGAACAUUCAGCUAUGGUUGUGUAAUUUCUGUGUUGGCCUAGAUCAAACAUUUUUCCCAAGUAACUGAGAAAGUGACACUGUAAAAAACACUUAGCUACAAGUGUGGCAAAUUAUUUAUCCUUUACUUACCCAACCAGAAUGUACCUGCACUUGGACACAGUAAAGAUGCACAGCAUUAUUCAAAUUACUUUAACCAUUUCAGUGGAGUUUGGGUCAGUUAGUGGGGCUCAGGUCAGGGCUAAAUGCAGCUCUUUGCAUUUUCUCAGAGCACAAAGACAAAACCUGUUGGCUGCCCUACAGGUGUAGGCCACAACUCCCCCAGCAGUCAGACUGGAGAGGUCAGUGCUGCCCAGGUACCACAGCCAGCUCAGAGCAGCUCAGUGCAUCCCCAGAACCUGCAGAGGUCCCAGCCCUGGCUUUGAAAGGCCUGACCAUGUUAGUCACAGCUCAACCUGGACUAACCAACACACGUGGGUGUUUCCUGGGACUCAGAGAUAUCCAGACAGACUUGGGACAUUUAAACAAUUUUUUUUUUGCAAGUAGAGUUAAAAUAUCAUAAAACUAGAACAGCAUACAACCAAGAAAAUGACUGAAUGUUAUUCUUCAUAAUUCACCUUUUGAAAUAACUUCAUUAUCUCCCUGAAGUUUAAAUAUUUUGAACUAUAUGAGUUCAGAUAUUUGUGUUACAAAAAUAACAGUACUUGAACUCUUAGCCUAUUAUUCUAAUACACAUAUUGGACAUGUACAUACCUUUGCUAAGAAUUAAAAGCUUGGUAUUAAACAGGUUAGAAAUAUCAGACAAAAGGUUUCCCAGAUGAUUACCACAUCUACUUACCAUACUAAGGACAGCUAGAGAAAGAAGGCAAAAGGAAUUCACAGGUAGCAGUCAGCAGAAGACUUGGCAGCCCUUACGAGACUUCUGCAUCAAGUAAUUACAUCACUGGUCUGAGAUACAUCAUUUAUAUCCUCUUUUAUGCAUUGUAGCUCAUAUUUCCUUGGUAAUUGUUAUUACCAAUUCACUUCAAUAGAGGGCAAAAGAGACUGAAGUUGUCAUCUCAGACUAGAGGCUGCAUGCAAGAGUGAGAAUUAAGAAAUCUGUGAGGAUUACAUGCAAUUGGAAACAUAACCGAGGUAAAAGAAAAAUACUAGAGCUGUACAGAAAUUGGGUAAUUUAAUUUCCCUUAAUGAUUCACUGCUCUCCCUAUCUGUGAAUCAGACUGAAAUAAACAUAAGAGCUUGAUGAAACAAAAAUAUCUCAAAACUCUUCACAGUCAUUUCUCUCUAGGCUUGAACAGAUUGCAAGCACCAACUUAACAAUACAGGAAAAAUAUAUGGUGCAUUGAACUGGAAGAAGUUUCCUCUACAUUUUCUUUUACUGACUGUUAAUGCAGCAAAUUUGUGAAUUUGGUGCACUUAAGGGAAUUUCUUGUGGGGAAAUACCAUUUUAUUAAGUGCAUAUUAUAUUUAUAUAUGUAUUAUUUCUUUAGUUAGUUUUAAUCUUCUCUCUGAUUUUGUUCUUCCAUUACAGCAGGGGCUUUGCAUUUCAAAUGAUCUCUUUUCUCUUACUGAGUUUCAAAGUUUGAGUAAUGGUGCUAAAGUCCUCUGCUUUCAGACACAAAGGCACAAUAUCCCAGCAGUUAUUAAAAAGUCUAAUGUUUUAUGAAAUGUGAAAUAAUAGACUUUGUUUGGUCCCUAGGAUAAUUAUUUAUUUCAUUCCAACUGAGAAUGCAGAAUAGAAAGACAGCUGUGUUCUCUGCUCUGCAAUGAAUCCCACAGUGAUGAACCACUCCAACUCCUGUAUCCUUAAAGAAAUCCUCACACAGUGAUACUUGUCUCCUGCUCUCUUUCCCAAAUUUCAUGUGCACUAAUACAAUAUUCCAGCGUGGCCCUAAUAUCUUUCAAUAAUUGAUAGCUUUCCCACAAAACUUCCUGCAAGGUUUUUUUUUGGAGCACACCUGACCUACUAGUCCUCAAAUCUUCUGACUGUUUGCUUUCUACAUGCACAUGGACUUUAUUCUGCUAGGCUUAUGGUUUAGGCCAUAUGAAUUUUGUCCCCCAGCAUUUUGCUGAUACCAAGAAAAACACUCAUAUUCAAAAUUAUCUUGAAAAAUGAGAAAGAAAUUAUCAAAUGAGGAAAUACAAAAACAAGGGUAAAAAUGUUCACUUAGGAACAGAAAAUCAACUACAGAAAUACAAAAUGGGAAACUGCCAGACAAAUUGAUCUAAGACUUAUUGCACAAUGCAAUAGAAAUAUGAGUUGACAAGUAUGGAAAGACAAAAAUUAAAAUUGUUGCUGUGGGCAUGUUAGAACGAAAAUCAUGUCCAAAAUGGUAGAGCAAUAGUGUUCACUGUGGUGAGUUCUUACUUGGAAUACAGUACUUGUUGUUGAGCACAGUACAUUAAAAUAAAGGGUGAGGCAAUGAAACAAAGUGUACAGAGGUAUUGACAGGUAGUGGAAAUAUUAAGAGGGCAGAAAUGAAGGAUAAGUGGAUAUAACUGCAUAAGCAUGAUAAAAAUGAACUAUAUUCUAUUAAAAAAUGAACUAUAUUUCUAUUAAAGGAAGGGCAUAGUCCCCAACAGAAAGGGGGACUGUUUCCUGCAUUUACCAUUCCAGUCAAAUGAGACCACAGAUUGCCUGUCAGCAGACGACUCUACCUCUAACAAAAGAAAGUAAUAUCACAUCAGAUCAAAUACACCAUUGCUUUUAUUUCCAGCCCAUCUAUAACACCGACUCUGGCCUUAAGGAACUCAGGCCAGACUUGCCUAAAAUUUAUGGAGGUGGAAAUAAGCAGAAGUACAAUGCAAAAGAAUGAUGUCAUAGUGAUUUUUGGUUCUUGGGUACAAAACAUCAGUCCAAAAAUUAGUUUAUCAUUGCUCAGGGGAGAUGAUGAGGACCUGAUACCUGGCAUCCCUUCACAGAACCACAGAAUGGCUGAGGUUGGAAGUGACCUCUGCAGGUCAUCUUGUCCAUGCCCCUUGCUACAGGAAGACCACCUGUGCUGUGUGCAGGUGACUUUUGAGUAUGCCCAAGGAUGGAGCUCCAUGGCCCCCUGGUCCUCUGUGUUGUACACAAGUGACCCUGCCCAGACCACCUGAACAUUUGCUUCUUGGUUCUUGUAAUUGUGUGGAUGUGAGAGUGUAAAGGAAUGCAAUCAUUGAGAAAAGGACUGUGAGUGGGUAAAGGCAAUGUACUUAAAAGCUUUUGUAAAAUGAUAUCACCUACUCCUACCACAGAUUCUCACACUGCAUUUUUUACACUAACUUGCAACAAGAGAGAAAAGCACCAACAGUGAUUUAUGCUGGAAGGAUGCAAAACCUGGAUUUGUGUAAUCUGGGUGAGAAAAGUUCAGAGGCAAUAAGGUGAUAGCUUUCCACAUGUAAUAUGUCAUUAUCAAGAGAACAACAACCAGCUGCACUCACAGAUGCUGGGAGAAGGACAAGAAGAAAAUUUCAAAAGCUGCAAAAUUCUUUUGGCUGUGCACCAACAGGAGUGAAACUGGGGGCCUCGUGGACUCCCCACCAGACAAUGUGAAGCCUGUGAUGGCAAAUGUUUGUCACCAGUGUCUGGAUAUGUUCAAACCUGCCUUUCUGCUGGGGGCUGGACCAGAGCAGUGACUGACAGCAAGCUUCUGAUGCUCAGUGCCAGAUCCUUUGUCAAAGGCCCUGUGACUCAGAGCUCCUGGUGCCAGCCCAGAUCCACGCCAGCUAAAGACUUGGUGCCUGCGCCAGAAUUUUGUCACUACUGGGCUAAACAAUCUCCUUUACUCUCUUCCUGACCUAUAUUGUUACAGUUGCUAUGAAACCCUUACCCAUGGAAGCAAUUUUUCCACUGGCUCCACGAACUGUCUCUGUUUCUCACCACCAGGAAGUUUUAUUUCUUCAAUAAAAUUGAAUACAGUCAUGUUUGAGCUGGGGUGGGAAUUACUUAGCCCAACUUUUUCAUUUCAGAUGACUUUUGAAAAACUUGGCU